rnacentral:rRNA from 1 species
ACGAACGCUGGCGGCAGGCCUAACACAUGCAAGUCGAACGCUCGUAGCAAUACGAGAGUGGCAGACGGGUGAGUAACACGUGGGAACCUUCCCUAUGGUUCGGAAUAGCUCAGGGAAACUGAGGCUAAUACCGCAUACGCCCUGUAAAGGGGAAAGAUUUAUCGCCGAUGGAUGAACCCGCGUCCGAUUAGCUUGUUGGUGAGGUAAUGGCUCACCAAGGCUUCGAUCGGUAGCUGGUCUGAGAGGAUGACCAGCCACACUGGGACUGAGACACGGCCCAGACUCCUACGGGAGGCAGCAGUGGGGAAUAUUGGACAAUGGGCGCAAGCCUGAUCCAGCAAUGCCGCGUGAAUGAUGAAGGCCUUAGGGUUGUAAAGUUCUUUCGCUCGUGACGAUGAUGACGGUAACGAGAGAAGAAGCCCCGGCUAACUUCGU